GACGAACGCUGGCGGCGUGCUUAACACAUGCAAGUCGAACGGAAAGGCCCUGCUUUUGUGGGGUGCUCGAGUGGCGAACGGGUGAGUAACACGUGAGUAACCUGCCCUUGACUUUGGGAUAACUUCAGGAAACUGGGGCUAAUACCGGAUAGGAGCUCCUGCUGCAUGGUGGGGGUUGGAAAGUUUCGGCGGUUGGGGAUGGACUCGCGGCUUAUCAGCUUGUUGGUGGGGUAGUGGCUUACCAAGGCUUUGACGGGUAGCCGGCCUGAGAGGGUGACCGGCCACAUUGGGACUGAGAUACGGCCCAGACUCCUACGGGAGGCAGCAGUGGGGAAUAUUGCACAAUGGGCGGAAGCCUGAUGCAGCAACGCCGCGUGCGGGAUGACGGCAUUCGGGUUGUAAACCGCUUUCGCCUGUGACGAAGCGCGAGUGACGGUAAUGGGUAAAGAAGCACCGGCUAACUACGUG
rnacentral:rRNA from 1 species